UGUGUGCGAGCGCGUACGUUUAAAAUGAUUCAUUCGACGUCGUCGCCCGCAGUAAGCGCAUUAGCUCGCGCGAGACUUGUUGGCCGUGCUUGCUUGUUGACGUAAUGACGUCACUGCUGGCCAAACUUGACAAGUCCAACUGCAUUUACUUUUUAUUCCUAAACGAUGUUUUAAUGUGCUAAACAAGUUAAACCGACGAGCGAAUGUUUAAGGAGGACAAUAAGUCAUCAGUAAGCUAGCAUCCAUUGUCAACCAUCUGUUGUUCAUGAUUGUAAUCAACAAGAAAAGUUUAAUAAUUCAAUUUUUUGGGGGGGGUUAUUGAAACCAUUUAAGGCGCAUACAAAUAAUACAAAUAAUACAAAUGAUUUGAGGUGAACUUAAUUUGACCUCUAAACGUUUGAAUGCCCAACUGAUCAGCGUUUCAGUACUUUUUUCACAAUUUGCUGUUUCCUGAGCUGAAGGAGCUGAACUGCACAAUGAACAGGCGUGACCAGGCCUUGUUGAUGUCGACGCUAGUCUGGCUGGAGUCUACCCUGCAGCGCUCUGCCCGCCUGGGCCUAGAGGUGCUGGAGCGAGCCUCCAAACGGAAGAUGGUCUUGAUGACUCCUCCAGAGACCUACACUACUGACACGUCUGAAGAUGAAGCAGUACAAAGCAGUACAAAUAAAGGCUUGACAGACCUGGAGGAGGCCUUUGCCACCAUCGCAGAGUUUAUGGCGCGGACCAGCUAUCAUUGCAAAAAGUUCUACCAGGCGGCAGGAUGCACGGGCAAAUCCAACAUAGAGAAGAAACAUGUGGCUCGCUUCCAUAAGCAUAUGAAUGCUGCUUCACCUCCACUCGGGAAACACGGUAAAAGGUCGAGAGCAGCGGAGGAUUUCUACAUUGAGGUUGCUCCUGGAGCGUACUCUGUCAGCGCCAGCCUUCCGGGCUCACGGCAGCAAACUAAGAUGGUCGACCUCAACGCUGGCGAGACGGUCAGCCUCACGUUUAAGCUCUGACCUGGCCACAGCAAGACUGUCACCAGUGAUGCAAUGAACCAGACAUGGACUGAGACACAGGGCUGUGAUUGGGCAUAGAACCAGGAAGUGACUGAAACUGAGAGCUGUGAUUGGGCGAGGCGCUGCUCUGCGGAAUAGGGACGUUGGAUCUUGCCGACGAUGACGACGAUGACGACGAUGCCGCCCUCACUGGCGAGAAACACAAACAUGAUCGCACAUCAUGCUAUUUCAAUAUUAGGGUGUCCAAACUUUACCAGCCAAAACGUUGACGAAUGCAGUGGGAGCCACUUUGCUACAUUUUGUGCAUUAAAGAUACUAAAGGCAAUUCAAUGUACUGUAUGUGUGUAUGUAGGUCAGUAUAUGCUAAGAUAUCAGAACAAAACAUCCACACCUUAGCUUUGUGUUAUAGGUGACAAAACAAAUGUAAUAUCAAUUAUUAUUUUUAAAAUAUGCCCAGGGCCAAUAGAAAAUGAGCUGCAGGCCAAAUAUGCCCCCCAGGGCUGCAUUUUGGACACCCCAAAAACUGGUAUUGUUAACAAGGGCCAGGGAUGUCCAAAGUGUGGCCUGGGGACCAUUUGCUAUCAAAAAUCCCAGAAAAAAUGUGGAUAAUAGAGCCAAGAGCCACAAUGUAAGAGACAAAGCUGAAAAUGCUUUUUAAUAACUAAUGUUCUAAUAUGUUUUCUUAGCCUGUUCACAAAUUUUAAAAAAUACAUAAAAAUAUCAAAAUGGUCCCCAACAUCGUCUCAUUUUUUAGCAUACGGCCCUCGUUGGACUUGAGUUGAACAAGAGUUAUUACAAACGGAUAUAGAUUUUUAUAAGCCUCUUGUUUGAGCAUAUUUUAACACAGAAAAUUCCCUUUCAUCGCUAGUGAAUGUCAUUCUUCACCCUGGGGAAAAAAAACAUUAAAACUUAGUUUAUACACAUUGAGAAAGAAUUUAAUUUUCAUUACUGGACUACAAAAUUAUUUUUGUGGACACCCUGUUUCUGCAUAUUUCCAGUGAAUAAUGCAUAUUAAUAAUAAAAUUCAUACAUAUAAAUGAUGAUCCAAUUUAGUAUGGUGGCACUUUGCUGAGUGCUCAUGUCAUUUUGAACAGGAUGUGUCAGUGUGGUGUAUCCAAACCUCGUUGUGUGCAUUGCGGUUCGGGACCUGUUCUUCUCCAGUACCUCCACGGAAGACGUUGCUGGGUUCCACGUCUUUUAACGGCAGGAAGAAGCGCACCCUCAUCGUCAGAGGAGGAUGAUAGUGCCACAUUAGUGUCAUCCUCCAUUACAUCAUCAGUCUGUGUCGUGUCACAUCCAUUUAUUCUUUCCAGGCUGGACCCAACGUUCCAUCUGUUGUAUGCAGAGCAGGACCAACACUUUGUGGAGGGGUGCAAGCAGCAUGCAGACACACACCAUGAGCUGCAAGAACCAUGGAGAGAUGACGUCUGUUUGUGGAGCUCCAGCACUAUUCUACUAUAAUGAGGGGCUGAAAUAGGCUGAACCAGACUGGCUGGGACCAGAGAGAUGCACACGUGCCACAUUUGCACCUGAAGCAUGCUUUGGACCUCUCCUGAAGGACAAAAAGGAUAAGGCCGUAUCUACGCAGGUGUGGUUCCCAUGGUGACAGGACAGCAUCUCCACAGUGCAGGGAAGCUGGGCUUGUCUCACAGUGUUUGACCAUGUCGGGGGAGCAAACCAGCUGCUGCUGCUGCCGCCGCCAGGGGAAGUCAGCACCCAAAAUGACACUUCCUGAACAGUCAAACUCCACUACCCACACUCCCCUGUGACCCUGUUUGAACAGAAAAGCAUGUACUUACUGCAUUUAAACACAAAAUUAUGGAGGCCCGUUUCCACAACUGAAAGAAAAAAAAAUUCCAAUGGUAAGUCAGAAUUAUGAGAUCGAAAAAUCUAAAUAAUGAAAUAAAAGGUCAUAAUUUUGAGAUUAAAAGUUAAAAUUACGAGAUGAAAAGUCAUAAUUACGAGAUAAAAAGUUGAAAUUACAAGAUGAAAAGUCAUAAUUAUGAGAUAAAAAUUCAAAAUUAUGAGAUACAUGGUCGCAUGGCACUUGGCAGUUUGUGUCUCAUAAUUUAAAUUUUUUAUCAUAAUUUUAUCUCAUAUUUGAUCUCUUCCAUAUUAUUUUGACUUACCAUUUGGGAUAUUUUUUUAACAGUGGCAGAACGGGGCUACCAUACAAAAUGGUAAUAACGACAAAGACAUUUCCUUCCACUGCGUGGUGCUAAUUUAACAUGUGAUGAGUUGAAGUUGAUGAGAGCAGGACAACGUUUUCAGUGUCUAUGUUCACCUGCACUUGCUGUAUGACAGUAGCAAGGUAAUAAAAAGCAUCUAUCUCCUUCCUGGCCAGCACCCGACAACCUGGAAAGAACUCAGAACUGGACAAUGUUCUGGCUGGAAGCUCGCAGGAAGUAGCUGGAUGGAGUAGGUGACCCCUGGAGGCCAAAAGGAAGUCAACAAAGAGCUGAAGUUGCCGUUUGCUGUGCUGUUUAUUCAUGUCAGUUUGCAGACAGUACAAGAUGAUAUUGUUUGUUUUUUGGAUGGUUUGGAUGCUGUUCCCAUGGAGACCAACCUGAACAGCAGUGUGGAUGUUCUUCCCUGUGCUGGAAGGCAGGCAGAGAUGGGUGGACAGCAACACUGGACUGCACAGGUAUUUUCUGCACAGUGAAGCGGGACUGGCUGAGCACAAAAAUACAAGCAUAUUUUAGUCCUGACACUCAUGCAACCUCGGAAAAAAAACUUUGGACCUGUUUAGGGCCCCAUCACAUAUUGGCUGUCUACAGCCAUGCAGAUUUUCAUUUCAAAGUAAUAGGGGUGUAAAGGUUAGGUGUGUCCCAAUCCACAUUUUUUGGCUUCCGAUCCCAUUUUUUUAAAAAUAGUCUUGCCGAUUCUCUCCGGUACCAAUCCCUUUAAAAAAAAAAAAAUAAAAAAAUUGUAACAUUCAUGUUACAAACAAGAAUAUGUGGAA